rnacentral:lncRNA from 1 species
UACAAAAAGAUGCUGGUUACUGCUGUAAGCUCUUAAGCCGGAAGAUAUGGUUGAUGAGUAAGGAAAAUAGAAGCCAAUAGCCCUACCCCAGGGAGGGGUAUUCCUUUUUCCCUUUUUUUGUUCUUAUUUCUUGUUUGCAGAUCCACAGUUGAGACCCCGUGCUCUGUAUGUCAAGGUCACACUUGGCUCUUUGUUUCUGAUGUCUCCACUCUUAGGAUACAGGACAGCAGUCUGCUGGGGCUUCAGGGUCUUAAAUAAAAAAGCAAGGUCUUCUGUAGGUUUUUCUUCAGCAAGUCUGUCUGUCUGAGGUGCUUAGAAUUGUGUAGAAAAAUGGUCUCCAGUUAGAUUUCUUAGCAGCCAGCUCUGGGAUAUAAUGAUCUUUGCCAAAUGCCAGGAAGCACCAAUCUCUCUGCUCUCCUGCUCUGCCUUUAGUGGGAGCAGCUGGCAUGGUGCCUCAUCAGUACAUAUUAGGGGCUCUCAGAUUUCAGCUGACUGAAUGAAGAGUUGCAGGGUGGGGAAUAAAAUUGGGAAAGCGGCUCCUCCUAGCAGAGUUGCUGCAGAAAGAAGUAGGGAAGUCUGUCUUAGAAGGCACUUGGACAGAAUGGGGCUGACAUACAGAUAGAAGCUGUCAUCCUUUCGUCUGCUCCUAAGAAAGAAUAGGGCAAGGUGAGGAUUUAUGCCAUCAAUGCUAUUCUGCACCUCAAGACGAAAAGUCGUCUUUCCAGAUGAGGCUUCCUUCACGAUGAACUUCAGGUUUUACAUUUUUCUUUAUUUUCCAGAUUUUGGAAGAUUAUGCCAAACCUCCAAAAGAGAUUAGAAAAAUAGCACUUCUGCAAAAACAUUAACAUACCCGUGAGUCUAAUUAAAAUGCCUUUUUGGUGUAAUAUUGUUAGUGAUUGGUAUGCAGGAAAAAGUUAAAAAGAAACCCAAAGCUCUGAGUGUCAGUUACUGUGAAAGAGGCAUAUUUUCCGUUGUUGCCUUUUUGUGCAUCUGAACCUAAACACAUUUGCUGGAUGUAAUUCAAGCUGCUCUGAGCCCAAGUUGCUGAAGGAAGAGGUCAGUAUCUGCCAGUGAGAUCCAUGCUGUUUUUAUGAUGAUGGUUUUUUUACCCUUCUCUUUACAGUGUCAACUGAUGGAGAUAGAUUCCACAGAUUGUCAUUAACCCAGAGAUGAUAUUAGCCUACCAGUGAUGAAAAUGUUUAUCAAAUCCUUAAGGUGAUUGCCAGCAUAUCAGGGUCUGUAACAGCCAUCACUGAGGAAAACAGCAUUGUUCCAGUAGUAUUCAGAUGUCAACAGUUUAUACUUUGUAAUUAAAGAAAUUGUGGAAUUUAGUUGUUAUUCUUGAAGGAGUUGGACUCAAAAUGGCUUUGUUUAGGACCUUUGUUACAUUGGGUAAUACUUCAUUCACAUCUCCCCAUUUAACAUAGAAAAUGACUAACCCAGUAAUUCAGGGAGUUAAGACUAAAAACAAGUGACAUUUCACAGCAAGUGCCAUUUUGAAUCUUUGACUCCUGAGAUCCCAUAUAAUUAAGUGGCAUUGUUCUGAUGACUGCAACAUGGUAUACGAUCUGAUACCGACGAUUUUGCUCAAAGUAAUCUGACAAUUUACUGCAUAUACGUACAAAGCAGGCUAUAGUUUAUCUGAAUAGAGUCUAUUUUGAAUUGUUUAUUAAACUUGUUAUCGCUAUAGGAUUUCAGUAGGAAAGGGUUUUUGCUUUGACCAUCUGUGUGAAAGUAACUAAAUGAUCUUCAUUAGAAGUGUAUUCAUCUGUUUUAGUUUUAUAGAUUGAGAGAGCUAUUGAUCUGAUACCAAGAUGACCAUUACCCAUCUUUUCAUGGCCCAUCUGACUACUGGUGUUUCAUCUUUUAUUUUUUGACAUCUCUCCUCACAUUAACAGUCUGGGGAGGAUGGGAAUAUGACACAUACAUUUAUAUAAACCUGAGAAUAUGCUGCAAUUUCUAGUUCCUUUGGAUACCUCAGAAGUAUGUUUGUUUUAUGCACUUGUACUGUUUAU